rnacentral:rRNA from 1 species
UACGAAGGGGGCUAGCGUUGCUCGGAAUCACUGGGCGUAAAGCGCACGUAGGCGGACUCUUAAGUCGGUGGUGAAAUCCUGGAGCUCAACUCCAGAACUGCCUUCGAUACUGGGAGUCUCGAGUUCGGGAGAGGUGAGUGGAACUGCGAGUGUAGAGGUGAAAUUCGUAGAUAUUCGCAAGAACACCAGUGGCGAAGGCGGCCAUCUGGACGGUAACUGACGCUGAGGAGCGAAAGCGUGGGGAGCGAACAGG